rnacentral:rRNA from 1 species
UACGUAGGGUGCAAGCGUUGUCCGGAAUUAUUGGGCGUAAAGGGCGCGUAGGCGGCCUGCUAAGUCGAACGUGAAAUCCCCGGGCUCAACCCGGGAACUGCGUCCGAUACUGGCAGGCUUGAAUCCGGGAGAGGGAUGCGGAAUUCCAGGUGUAGCGGUGAAAUGCGUAGAUAUCUGGAGGAACACCGGUGGCGAAGGCGGCAUCCUGGACCGGCAUUGACGCUGAGACGCGAAAGCGCGGGGAGCGAACGGG